rnacentral:rRNA from 1 species
CCUACGGGUGGCAGCAGUGAGGAAUAUUGGUCAAUGGGCGUAAGCCUGAACCAGCCAAGUCGCGUGAGGGAUGAAGGUUCUAUGGAUCGUAAACCUCUUUUAUAAGGGAAUAAAGUGCGGGACGUGUCCCGUUUUGUAUGUACCUUAUGAAUAAGGAUCGGCUAACUCCGUGCCAGCAGCCGCGGUAAUACGAAGGGGGCAAGCGUUGUUCGGAAUUACUGGGCGUAAAGGGAGUGUAGGCGGUUUAGUAAGAUAGUGGUGAAAUCCCAGGGCUUAACUUUGGAAUUGCCAUUAUAACUAUUAGACUAGAAUUACAGAGAGGAUAGUGGAAUACCCAGUGUAGAGGUGAAAUUCGUAGAUAUUGGGUAGAACACCAGUGGCGAAGGCGACUAUCUGGCUGUACAUUGACGCUGAGGCUCGAAAGCAUGGGGAUCAAACAGGAUUAGAUACCACUGUAGUC